CACCUCAUUGACUGGAAGUGAUUCCUUCCAGUUGAUGAGGUCUUUGCCUCUCAUCAAUCAGAAGGGUUCCCUUCCAAUUGAAGAGGUAUUUGCACCUCAUUGACUGAAAGGGAUUUCUUCCAGUCAAUGAGGUA
rnacentral:miRNA from 1 species